UACAGAGGUCUCAAGCGUUGUUCGGAAUCACUGGGCGUAAAGGGCGCGUAGGCGGCUCAUGAAGGCUGUGGUGAAAGUCCGGGGCUCAACCUCGGAUCGGCCGUGGCGACUCGUGGGCUGGAGCACUGUAGAGGCGGGUGGAAUUCCGGGUGUAGCGGUGGAAUGCGUAGAGAUCCGGAAGAACACCAGUGGCGAAGGCGGCCCGCUGGGCAGUGGCUGACGCUGAGGCGCGACAGGCGUGGGGAGCAAACAGG
rnacentral:rRNA from 1 species